CUGCACCGUGCUGUCAGGAGCCCUCUGCCUCGCAUGCCCGGGACACAAGCAGCCGGCACCACGGCCCUACACCUUGUCGGAUAGCACUGCCCCCAGGGCGUGCAGACGUUGCAAGCAACAACACAACAGCCUGCCCUGUCAUGUAGCAUUACUUACGUGUUCAGAUAUGCAUCCUUCUCACAUUUCUACUCCAGCAAGUGGUUGCUAGCAGAGCAGGGCUAGGACAAGUUCACCACCUGCUAAAGACAUGUCCCUAAUACAACACAGCGACGAUUUUGUUACAUCGGGUCCUUUCUGUGCACAGCUCAAGCACAAGGAAAGAACAUACGUGAGAGAACAGAAGCACAUCGAUCGAGGCGCUGAAAGAAAGCGGGGAGAGAGCUGGCAUCGAGGGCAGGCUCAGGCAAGAGCAUUGACUUCAACCCUACCUCCAUGCAACGCAAGGACUCCAAGCAGAGGAAUCCCUGCUCCAGCCCUUCCUGGGGCAUUCACGCCACCGAUAACGCCUUGCAAAAUCCAGAGCGGCCCAGGCAAAACCAGGCACGGUGUCAGUAAGAAGUUCUUCGCAUCUACAGCACAGCUCAGGCUCUGCUCCUGGUGGAGUUCCAGCAGCAGACAGCUCAGAAGGACCCCAGACAAGCAGCCUCUAGGAUUUUUUUUUUCUCCAGGCUGUACCAGGAGACUCAGAAGGGCCACGCAGACCGGAGGCGAUGUCCACGACGUGCCCGAUGCCAGCACGAGCACUGACAGCAGCGCUGGGGCCAACCCAAGCGGGGGACGACCCCGCACCACCGGGGCCGGCCACCGACGACCCCACAGAGCCUCGGGGACCAGCUCCGCGUGGGUCCCUCCACCUGCCCCGUGCCCGGGCCCUUUUUUCCUCAACUUCCUCGCCCGUCGAGGAUGGCACCGGCGCCGCUCCCGGGGGAGCCCCGGCGCCUCCUGCGGGGCUCGGAGCCCGACAGCGCGUCCCGGGGGGGGCGGAACAAUGGGGGAGCAGCGGCGGCGGGGCA
rnacentral:lncRNA from 1 species